UACGGAGGGAGCUAGCGUUGUUCGGAAUUACUGGGCGUAAAGCGCACGUAGGCGGCUUUGUAAGUUAGAGGUGAAAGCCCGGGGCUCAACUCCGGAACUGCCUUUAAGACUGCAUCGCUUGAAUCCAGGAGAGGUGAGUGGAAUUCCGAGUGUAGAGGUGAAAUUCGUAGAUAUUCGGAAGAACACCAGUGGCGAAGGCGG
rnacentral:rRNA from 1 species